rnacentral:rRNA from 1 species
CUUUGACGGGUAGCCGGCCUGAGAGGGUGACCGGCCACAUUGGGACUGAGAUACGGCCCAGACUCCUACGGGAGGCAGCAGUGGGGAAUAUUGCACAAUGGGCGGAAGCCUGAUGCAGCAACGCCGCGUGCGGGAUGACGGCCUUCGGGCUGUAAACCGCUUUCGCCUGUGACGAAGCGUGAGUGACGGUAAUGGGUAAAGAAGCACCGGCUAACUACGUGCCAGCAGCCGCGGUGAUACGUAGGGUGCGAGCGUUGUCCGGAUUUAUUGGGCGUAAAGGGCUCGUAGGUGGUUGAUCGCGUCGGAAGUGUAAUCUUGGGGCUUAACCCUGAGCGUGCUUUCGAUACGGGUUGACUUGAGGAAGGUAGGGGAGAAUGGAAUUCCUGGUGGAGCGGUGGAAUGCGCAGAUAUCAGGAGGAACACCAGUAGCGAAGGCGGUUCUCUGGGCCUUUCCUGACGCUGAGGAGCGAAAGCGUGGGGAGCGAACAGGCUUAGAUACCCUGGUAGUCCACGCUGUAAACGGUGGGUACUAGGUGUGGGGUCCAUUCCACGGGUUCCGUGCCGUAGCUAACGCUUUAAGUACCCCGCCUGGGGAGUACGGCCGCAAGGCUA